UCUCUCAUUGAAAACAAAUCGGUCCAAGCCAACCUCCCCCUCUCCUUGAACUCGUCUCUCAAUUUCUCCAAGACAGGAGCACCGCCUUCUUCUCUGGCCGCCUCCGCCACCGGCGAGGCCGGCGCCCUUCCUCCGGCGUCAGCACCCUUCCUCUUCCCUCACCUCUCUUUUUUGAAUCAGCACAAGCUCAACACAAGGGCAAGCCCUAAUUUCUUCUUCAUUACAGACCAUGCCACCGCCGCCCUGCAAUUUUCGGCGAGCGGUCGGCUUUCCACUUCGUCCCUGACGCCGUGUCCUUCGUCCGUCUUAUCUUUUCUUUCACGCGUACACAAUCGAGGGGAAGGUUGGGCCCUAGUUCUUUAAGCUCAGGCGAAAUCGCCGUCGCCACCUGGUUUUGCUCGCCGCGCUGUUGCGCCAUCUCACCUCUCCCGAUGAAGCCACUGCUGCUCUGGAUCGACGCCGUUGCAUCCUUCUUGGCAGAGGUCGCCGCACCGCCGCUGCUUUUCCAGAAAUCAACGAGGGCCGCUGCUGAGGUCGGGAGUCGUCCACCUUUCGCCGCUCAACGUCGUCGACCUCUUCGGCUCGACGGAGCAGAGCAGUCGCCCCUUGCUUUCAAACUCCGUUUAAGAAAAAAAAAUAGGUUUAAUUGAAGACCUCAGAUAAUAAAGGAACUCGGCAGCGCAGACGAAGGGACUUGACGGUGCAGACUACCCAAGUUACUUGGCAGCACAGACUCGCCUGCGCAGUUCAAGGGAGCUACUCAACACAGGUAACGAAGGACAGCGCAGAUGUAUUAAGCAAGACUAAGGUGUAUUAAGGCAUUAAAGGGCCUAAGUUCAAUUAUUAGAGUUCAUGGGCCUAAGGCCUUUAGGGCUCACUCUCACAUCUAUAAAUAGAAGGUUAGCUUUAGCAUUAAGAGGAUGAUUUAUUUCUAAGCAACACUUGUAAAAUGUAAUUAUCUCGAAGUAUAGUGAAAGAACUCGAAAAUCUCCCGUGGACGUAGGUCUUAACGACCGAACCACGUAAAUCCUGUCUCGAUUAUUGCUUUUUAGAUUAGGCGUUGAUUUCAUGUUUCACCAACUGGCGCCGUCUGUGGGAAACGGUGGCUACGUCGUGAGUUCCGACGAGCCGCUAAAAAUGGGAAUUUUGGGAUGCUGGGUGACUGUUCAUCGGGGGUUACUGUUCACCGGUUCAUCAUCAAAAAAAGAAAAAAAAAAGAAAAUGGGCGUGGUUGGGGUUUUAUGUUCUGGGCUUUUAGCUGCCGGCGAUUCCUGUUUUGAGUUUCUAGUGCCCAAAUCGGGAAUCCUUGUUCCACCCCCUAUGUUGCCGAAGAGCGAGCUUCUUCACUUUUCUGGGCAAAACAGUUCCCGGCGAGAAUUAGCCCGUCUCCAAUCGGAGAUCCACCAAACAAGAAAAGUCCUUUGGGCAGUCCCCAAAAAUUCUCGAUAGCUUUCCAGCUCCCAAAAUUUCCAGUCACGAAAAUGGAAAACCCCCAAAUCGAGAUCUCUCUCCUCUCCUCAAGGAUUCCAGUUUGAAGACAGUUUCAGCUGUCCUUAAGGUCCAGAUUCAUCACCCACGGUUAAUAUCGACCGUCUCACCCGCUAUCGAAUCAGUCGUUGCCGUCGUGCUUUAGCACCGAAGUUCGUCUCCUACUGCACCAUGCUCUGGAUCCCCCGAUUCCGUCGUCAAAUCGGCUGGAAGAAUCUCCGAAUCGAAACCUCCAAUUUUUCUUUAUUAUUCAUAUGUAGCUCUUCGCAAUUUCAGGUGAAUCUAACUAAUCUUGUGUUUUUGUCGUCUCAGCUAGGGCUCAAGCCACCUCUGGUAGAAUCAUCAAAAUACAACCUCAGCGCCUAACUAAGAGAAUGGUGAUGGGGUGUCCCAAGAUCAAUAGCCAACUUCAGAUGAAGAGUCAACUUCCAGGUGGAAUCCCAAAAUCCAAAUAGUUGAUUUCUCUCUAUCGUAAGAAUCCAGAAAAGAAUUCCAAGAAUCAACCUCCCAAUCGGCCUUCUUUUCUGGGGAUCCAUGAAUCAACCUCCCAAGCAUUUCAGCUGCGCUACCUCGGUCGCUCUUAUUUUGAGCACAGGAAGCACAUGAAUUAUAAUGAAUUAUUCCAACACCUGAGUCCUAGGAGCUCGCCUGCUAUUCCGGAGUAAUUUCCUAUCUUGAGGACAUGAAGUUCUUGGGGUAUCAAGCCCACCGCUGCGCCAAUGCAGUGCAGGGAGUAGAGGGCAGUUCAUCAGUCCACCGCUGCGCCGAUGUAGCACAUGAAGUAGAGGGCAGUUCAUCAGCCCACCGUUGCGCCGAUACAACGCAGGGAGUAGAGGGCAGCUCAUCAGCCCACCGCUGCGCCAAUGCAGCGCAGGGAGUAGAGGGCAGCUCAUCAGCUCAUCAGUAGACUUAACUCUGUGAAGAAACUCCGCAUGGAAGAAUAGGGACCUGCUCCUCAAUAAAUAAACUAAGUUCUUCAUUUAGUUGACUAUAAAUUGAAAAAUGACCGCUGUUUUGAGUGGAUUUUGUCGAGUGGGGAAAGUUGAUUAGGUUAAGAAAUUGCUGCAGGAGAUGUACAAGCAUGGUUAUAAGCCUAAUUGUGUCUCGUACACAACCUUGUUAAUACACUUACUCUGAUCUUUUUGAUGUCGUUAAGCACAAAGGGUAAGAACUCCUGGGGACGAGUCUAUUACGACAUCACCGUUGCAAUCACGAGGCUAUUAUCAUUGAGUACAUGACUAAUGAUUGCUCUUCUCUUCUUAAUUAUAUGUAUAUUGAAUGCUUCUGACUUUUAGAGAACUUUAUGAAUUAUUGAAUGGAAGAGAGGGAUUUUAUGUGUU